GAGUACGUAUUAUCACUUAGGUGUUUUUUUCUGUCAAAAAUGUAUGGCUCGACAGUCACUAUAUUAAGACCAUGCUUAUGUCCAGAGACCUAGUUCCUUCUCCAAGACUGGUUUUAUAAAUGCUGGUACUAAAC